CGUAGGUGGCAAGCGAUACUCGGAAUCACUAGGCGUAAAGCGCAGGUAGGAGGUUUGGAUAAGUCUCUUGUGAAAGCUCCCGGCUUAACUGGGAGAGGUCAAGGGAAACUAUUCGGCUAGAGUGUGGUAGAGGAAGAUGGAAUUCCCGGUGUAGCGGUGAAAUGCGUAGAUAUCGGGAGGAAUACCUAUGGCGAAAGCAGUCUUCUGGACCAUCACUGACUCUGAUCUGCGAAAAGCUAGGGGAGCAAACAGGAUUAGAUACCCUGGUAGUCCUAGCCCUAAACGAUGCUCAUUAGGUGUGGGAGGUAUCGACCCCUUCCGCGCCGUAGCUAACGCAUUAAAUGAGCCGCCUGGGGAGUACGGCCGCAAGGUUG
rnacentral:rRNA from 1 species